rnacentral:tmRNA from 1 species
GGGGGUGAACGGUAUCGACUCUGGACGUCGAUGCAGGAGAAGCGGGCCGAGGACCGCAUUGCUGACCUCGUUAAAAAAGCGAUGCAAAACCAAUAAGCGCCGAUUCCAAUCGCGCUGAGUUCGCUCUCGCUGCCUAAGUAGCGGAGUGACUCUGUCAGCCCGGGUUUGUUGCCGCCCCGGAUGCUGGCAUCAGCUAGGUGACUUACCGUCCUUGCCGGUCGCGGGCUUGGACGGGACAACUCACAGCGGCUGGGCUUGUCACCCUGGCUUGUGUGCAUGACCAGGGAAGCCGAGUAGAGGCAGCGCACACUGCGCCCGGAGAAGUCCUGUUGAAGCGACAGAGGACGGGGGUUCGAUUCCCCCCACCUCCACUG